rnacentral:rRNA from 1 species
ACGAGAGGGCCGCUACCACGCGAGUGGAUGCCAAUCCCCAAAACCUCUCUCAGUUCGGACUGGAGUCUGCAACCCGACUCCACGAAGCUGGAUUCGCUAGUAAUCGCGCAUCAGCCACGGCGCGGUGAAUACGUUCCCGGGCCUUGUACACACCGCCCGUCAAGCCAUGGGAGCCGGGGGUACCUGAAGUGCGUAACCGCGAGGAGCGCCCUAGGGUAAAACUGGUGACUGGGGCUAAGUCGUAACAAGGUAUC